AAGCAGACUCCUUCUGGUUCAGACAAACAUUAAUCAGUAGAAACAGGUUUUAUUUCAUUCUUUCUAUGAUCUGAAGAACAGUGCACCAUAUGCACACCUUCUCUGUACAGCCCACAGAUUGCUUGUGGCAGUGUGGACUCAGGGACUGGCUGUUAGGCACUGGGCUACCCCUGGAUGCAUAGUUGCAGAAAACGGCUGCGAGACAUUCAGCUGUUAUCAGCAAGGUAUAAAAUUCCUGCAGAUUCCAAAAAAUUAUGAACCCAACCCAAAAGUUACCUGUACUCAGGACAAGGUGUUUGGGACCUUUGACAUCACAAAUGGAACUUUAGCACACACAAAAACCACACAGAUUGAUGGAUAUGGUAGAUCUCUUGACUGAAACAAAAGUAAGAUGAACUUUCCUCUGAAGAUGGACUUGAGACCAAAGAUCCUCAAUCCUUAGCAGAAAAGGAGCCUAAAUGCCCUGAUGAACUAAAUCUGCUUGUUUUGAGGACCUGCAUCAUCUUGAGAAAGUGGGUGACUGAAACCAGCCAACUUGCCUGAAACCUGCUGACCUAUAAAAAAAAAAAAUUAAAAAAACACAUUAUCUUUUAAUCUCAGACUUUCAAACUCUGUAUUCAGUAUUUAUCAGGGAAAAUGUUAGUUAAAAAUUUUAUAAUUAA